rnacentral:rRNA from 1 species
AGUGAACGCUGGCGGUAGGCCUAACACAUGCAAGUCGAACGGCAGCACAGUAAGAGCUUGCUCUUACGGGUGGCGAGUGGCGGACGGGUGAGGAAUACAUCGGAAUCUACUUUUUCGUGGGGGAUAACGUAGGGAAACUUACGCUAAUACCGCAUACGACCUACGGGUGAAAGCAGGGGAUCUUCGGACCUUGCGCGAUUGAAUGAGCCGAUGUCGGAUUAGUUAGUUGGCGGGGUAAAGGCCCACCAAGGCGACAAUCCGUAGCUGGUCUGAGCGGAUGAUCAGCCAGACGGGAACUGAGACACGGUCCAGACUCCUACAGGAGGCAGCGGUGGGGAAUAUUGGGCAAUGGGCGCAAGCCUGAUCCAGCCAUACCGCGUGAGUGAAGAAGGCGUUCUGGUUGUAAAGCCCUUUUGUUGGGAAAGAAAAGCAGCAGGUUAAUACCCCGCUGUUCUGACGGUACCCAAAGAAUAAGCACCGGCUAACUUCGUG